GACGAACGCUGGCGGCGUGCUUAACACAUGCAAGUCGAACGGUGAAGCGCCUUCCUUUUUGGUGGGUGUGGAUGAGUGGCGAACGGGUGAGUAACACGUGAGUAACCUGCCCCCUUCUUCUGGAUAACCGCAUGAAAGUGUGGCUAAUACGGGAUAUUCUGUGUCUGUCGCAUGAUGGGUCUGGGAAAGAUCUUGUUUCGGUGGGGGAUGGGCUCGCGGCCUAUCAGCUUGUUUGUGGUGUGAUGGCCUUCCAAGGCGGUGGCGGGUAGCCGGCCUGAGAGGGUGGACGGUCACACUGGGACUGCGACCCGGCCCGGACUCCGACGGGAGGCAGCAGUGAGGAAUAUUGCACAAUGGGCGAAAGUCUGAUGCAGCGACGCCGCGUGAGGGAUGGAGGCCUUCGGGUUGUGAACCUCUUUCGCCAGUGAAGCAGGCCUGCCUCGUUUGUGGGUGGGUUGACGGUAGCUGGAAAAGAAGCGCCGGCUAACUACGUG
rnacentral:rRNA from 1 species